GACGAACGCUGGCGGCGUGCUUAACACAUGCAAGUCGAACGGAAAGGCCCUGCUUUUGUGGUUUGCUCGAAUUUCGAUUGGGUUUGUAACACGUGAGUAACCUACCCUUUACUUUGGGUUACCUUCACGAAACUGUGGCUAAUACCGGAUAGGAUCUCCUGCUUCUUGCUUUGUGUUGGAACGUUUCGGUGGAUGGGGAUGUACUCGCGUCUUAUCAGCUUGUUGGUGGGGUAGUGGAUUACCAAGGCUUUGACGGGUAGCUGGACUGAGAGGGUGACCGGACAGAUUGGGACGGAGAUAAGGCCCAGACUAGAACGGGAGGGAGCAGUGGAGAGGAGUACAAAAUAGGAGGAAGCGAGAUGCAGCAAAGCGGCGUGCGGGAUGACAGGAUUCAGGUUGUAAACCAAUUUCGCCUGUGAAGAAGAGAGAGUGACGGUAAUGUAUAAGGAAGCACCGGCUAAAUACGUG
rnacentral:rRNA from 1 species